rnacentral:rRNA from 1 species
GUCUUGGACUCGGAGUUUGGUUGUAGCUGGCCUGCAAAGGCAUGUGCACGCCUUUCUCUUUCAUCCACACGCCCCUGUGCACUUGUGAGACGGAGGCCUAUUGUUUGCUCUUCCAGUAGGGGGAGAUUGGGUUUCCGUCUGCUGUAAUACAAACUCAAUUUAUUUUAAUUUGAAUGUAAUUGAUGCUAUCGCAUCUUAUACAAUAAGUUUCAACAACGGAUCUCUUGGCUCUCGCAUCGAUGAAGAACGCAGCGAAAUGCGAUAAGUAAUGUGAAUUGCAGAAUUCAGUGAAUCAUCGAAUCUUUGAACGCACCUUGCGCUCCUCGGUAUUCCUUGGAGCAUGCCUGUUUGAGUAUCAUGAAAUUCUCAAAGCAAGUCCUUUGUUAACUCGCUGGACUUUGCUUUGGACUUGGAGGUCUGCAGACUUCACGGUCUUCUCCUCUCAAACACAUCAGCUGGAUCUCGGUGAGCUUGGUUCCACUCGGCGUGAUAAGUAUCGCUCGCCGAGGACACCCGUAACAAGGUGGCCAGGGUCGCGGAUGAACCGCUUCCAAUGGUCUAUUGACUUGGACGAUUAAUUCAUGAUCUGACUCAAAUCAGGUAGACAGCCAGUC